rnacentral:rRNA from 1 species
UACGUAGGGGGCAAGCGUUGUCCGGAUUUAUUGGGCGUAAAGAGCGUGUAGGCGGUUUGGUAGGUCCGUUGUGAAAACUCGAGGCUCAACCUCGAGACGCCGAUGGAAACCAUCAGACUAGAGUCCGGAAGAGGAGAGUGGAAUUCCUGGUGUAGCGGUGAAAUGCGCAGAUAUCAGGAAGAACACCCGUGGCUAAGGCGGCUCUCUAGUACGGUACUGACGCUGAGACGCGAGAGCGUGGGGAGCGAACAGG